UCAGAGUUAUAAUUAGUGCACAAUUUAUCAGCAAAAUAUUCCUUUUUCCGAUUUCUCCUUCAAAGCGUUAGAUUCUCUCAUUUCAGUGUUCUUUAAAUCUGAAAUUCAGCAUUGUUCUAUGCAUACUUUGUUGAUCCAAGCACUCAAACACCAUUGAAAAUCCAUUUAUUUAGCUCUCCUUCUUUCUUUUAAGCUUUAUAUAUAUAUUAUUUCAAAAUUAGUUUUUUAGUUCCUUUUCAGUGGAGAAUUUCAUCAAAAGGUUCAUCGGAAAAUUUUCUUCACGUAGAGAGGAGGUUUUCAGAGCUGAGACUGGUAUAUCUGAAAAUGACCUCCAUCUCUAGCUUCUUUCGACCAGACACAUUCUGGGCGUUGUGCAAUAGGUGCAACAUACAGUAUGAGUACACAAACAUAUUUCUCAAUCAGACUCUUCUUUGCUACCGCUGUCAUCAGCCCUUUUUGGCGACAGCUAUACCUGUACAGAGCCACAGUUCACGCCCUCGUCCUUUCCCAAAUCAACAACAACAAGACAUGCACGCUGCUUCACAACCAUCAGCUUCGAGAACCUCUCAAGCUCCUUCAUCCCAUGCACCUAAGAAGCAUGCCAAAAGAUGGAGAAAUACGAGGGAGUUAUCUGAGAGAAACAAACAUGCUAUGCUGAUAGGGAAGGCUAAAACAGAGAUCCGUCACCAACUAAAUGAAUGGGAGAAAGAAAAAGUGACCUCUUCACUUUCGAAUGGACAGGAUAUGGGCAAUGUCGUGCAUGCUUCGUGCAACAAUUCCAGAAUUUAUCCAGAGACAAAAAAUGAACUAAGUUGGAGCCUUUGAAAUCCUCCACUUUCAAAGAGACUGUUGUGGGAGCGAAGCCUGAUGAUGAUAAUGUGUCACCUUCUCCAUCACAUUACGCGUUUUCCCCUUUUUUAGUGUGUGUUAUCUUGGUUCUCAAUUCAGAGUGUUCAUUAAUAGUAUUGGAAUAAUGUUUUACUAAUUUGAUGCAAAAUUAUUCCAAUUGAGUUAGCACAUUUAUUAAUUUAGGUUUCCCAAAUUCAUGUUUCUGGUGAUGGAAUGUUGGAAUAUAUAUAUAUAUAUAUAUAUAUACAUACUAUUAAAUUAGGGAAAUUUUGUGAGUCUCAUAAUAAAACUAGGGUUUGAAGUUUUCUUCAUCAUGAUUGCAUUCAUUUUGAAGAAGGAAAAUGUGGCAUGUAAUUUGUAUUGGAUUGGAUGCAGAAAUAUCAGACCUUGCCCGGCAAUAAAUCCAGGGUGUUAUCCAGUAAUCCCAAGUCAUCGAAUUUUUCGUUUCCGUGGAAAAUCGAGGGCUACUCUUCAAUCGGUGCUGCCAUUCAGAAUUUUCAAGAUGCAAUCAUAAAAACUCGGAAGAAUGCCAAGAUCCAGCUUGUCAAAGAUACACCUACCCGUAACUCACUACUCGAUAAAAUUUUAGCACAACCAUGUUAUAGAACUGAGCUGGACAAGAGGCAAUGCAAGUAUAUGAGGAUCUUGUGUAUGCAUUUUGCGGUGUUUGUUGUAUUUGUAUGUGCAUAAAUUUAAACAAGGGGAGUUGGGUUCAAGUGAUGAAUGUAAGAUGUUGCAGGUGGAUUGAAUGAAACUCGAUCGAUGAAUACAUCCCAUAUGAAGUUGAUCUGUUUUACUUAGCAGACGACACUGAAUCUGCAAGAAAUGGAUAUUCUAUCAAUUUUAUUUAUGAAAAAGGCUAGUUUCCCCCACUGCUUCUGAAGAAUGUAGUAACAGGAUCAAAUACAGUGAAUUCUGCAUCUACAUCAUCAUUUUGCAUUUUUCUUAUACCUCAUCAAUGCACAUCCUUU